ACAGUAGCACCCCUGGCUGCUCCCAAUCACCAGGCUCAGCAGGAUCAGAUGCAUUAACAUCUUCCUGGGCAUAAAGAAGGUGACCACCUACAGUACAGACAGCCCCCUGGUCUAACCCUGAUGACAACACAGGAGAACAAAAAGGCUCAGCCUGUGGGGGUCAGCAGCAGGGAGCACAGUGCCCCGAUGGCAUCUGCAGCAUUAUCAGCAGCACAUUUUGCCAAUGAAUACCAUGCCUCAUUUGCAGCCACACCAGACUACCAUCUCCAAGCAACACACCAUACUUCUGAGCACGUGGCUGCAGCCUGCAGCAGUGACCUUCUUCCAAGCUGCCUCGCCUGUCAAAAUCCCAGCCACUGCUACCCUCCUGGUCUACUGCUACCCUCCUGGUCUCUUCCUGUAUUGUCACAUUUUAAAUCUCUCUUCAGAAAAAACAACUGCCUUUUGAACAAUUCUACAGUUCAGACCCAACCUA